GCCUCGGCCCGAGUUGUAAGUUUGUAGAGGAAGCUUCUGGUGCGGCACCGACCGAGUCCCCUGGAACGGGGCGCCAUAGAGGGUGAGAGCCCCGUAUGGUUGGACGCCUAUCCUCUGUGAAGCUCCUUCGACGAGUCGAGUAGUUUGGGAAUGCUGCUCAAAAUGGGAGGUAAAUUUCUUCUAAAGCUAAAUACCGGCCAGAGACCGAUAGCGCACAAGUAGAGUGAUCGAAAGAUGAAAAGCACUUUGAAAAGAGGGUUAAAUAGCACGUGAAAUUGUUGAAAGGGAAGCGCUUGUGACCAGACUUGCGCCCCGUCGAUCAUCCGCGGUUCUCCGCGGUGCACUCGGCGGGGCUCAGGCCAGCAUCGGUUCUCGCGGGGGGACAAAGGUCCCGGGAACGUAGCUCCCUCCGGGGAGUGUUAUAGCCCGGGGCGCAAUGCCCU
rnacentral:rRNA from 1 species